UACCAGCACCCCGAGUGGUCGGGACGAUUAUUGGGCCUAGAGCAUCCGUAGCCGGUCCUGCAAGUCUUCCGUUAAAUCCAGCUGCUCAACAGAUGGGCUGCGGGGGAUACUACAGGGCUAGGAGGCGGGAGAGGCAAGCGGUACUUUAUGGGUAGGGGUAAAAUCCGUUGAUCCAUAGAAGACCACCAGUGGCGAAGGCGGCUUGCCAGACGCGCUCGACGGUGAGAGAUGAAAGCUGGGGGAGCAAACCGG
rnacentral:rRNA from 1 species